UACGUAGGGGGGCGAGCGUUGUCCGAAGUUACUGGGCGUAAAGAGCGCGUAGGCGGUUUCUUAAGUUUGGGGUGAAAGGUUCAGCGCUCAACGCGAACACUGCCUUGAAUACUGGGAGACUUGAGUUCGGGAGGGGGUAGCGGAAUUCCUGGUGUAGCGGUGAAAUGCGUAGAUAUCAGGAGGAACACCGAUGGCGAAGGCAGCUACCUGGCCUAGAACUGACGCUGAGGCGCGAAAGCGUGGGGGAGCGAACGGG
rnacentral:rRNA from 1 species